UCUCGGAGUUGGGGGUCCGGGCUGGGGAUCGGGGCUGGAGAUGCUGAAGCUGCCAGCUCGAUGGGCUGCGAUGAAAAAGCCGAGGCCUCCAGAGGAAGGGGCUUCUCGUACUCAGCGGAAAGCUUCCGAGUCCGCCGCACCCCCACUCCUCGGAGCGGAGGAGCGAGCCGGGGCGGGAUGGGGGUGCUCGGUCUGAGGGUCCCCCGAGGCAAGUCUCAGGAAUACCUGCGGCUCACAGAUGGGGAAGACGAACCCGGGAGGGACGUGCUGCGUGUAGGCACUUGCUGGGGCGAGGUGGCCAGAUUUAACAAAUAAGAUUCCGGACGCCCAAAUGAAGUUUAAAUUCAGGUCCUGUCAUGCUUCCGACCGCGGACUCCUGGCUGCCGUCCCCAGCCCUCUGUGAGCGUGCUCCACUGUGAGCCUGAGGAUUCGCAAGGACUCGUUUCCUGGUCGCCAGCAUCUGCCACGGUGUGGCCACGGCAGGUGCUGUGCUUGAGGUGGUAGGAUCCCACAUGGCUGGCUGCACCAUUCAAGUCCUAGCCCUGAGGCUCGACGGGCACGCUCGGAACUCCAAGAGAAGGACACUCAUCCGCAUUUUACAACCUGAACAGACCGAGACAGGUCGAGCUCCAUCUGCCCAUCUGACAUGUACUUUCUGAGCACCUGCUCUGUUCUAGGUGAUGACACAGUUGUGAAGACAAAUAGGGUUCCUGUGCCGCGAGCUCACAUUGGGGGGCCUGGGAGAUGUUGCGGAGAUAGGCGUGCUCUGGAGUAUGUGGGAUGGUGGCAGGUGCUGCGAAGGAAAAGGAAACCAGUGAGGGGAAAGAGCAAGGCUGGAAAGUGCCGUUGCCUAGGGGUGGUCUGGGAAGCAGCACCUAAGGAAGCAUUUGAGCAGGACGGGGUGCAGUGAGUGAGCCCCACAGACAAGCCAGGAGGGCCGUUCUAGAGAGGGGAUGCUACGUGCAGGCCCAGCAGUGCAGAGUUGCUGGCGCUCCGUGAGGACUUCACGUUCCACUUUUGAUGAAGUGGAGGGCAGGACCGACGGCGGAGGGAGGGCCUGUGUGGGAGAGGAUGCGGUGCAGGCGGGCGCUAGUGGCGCUUAGCCUCCCAGAGUGAGCGGACGGGGAGGGCCGGAGAGGAGCAGGUGGGAGGGGAGGCCCCAGGCAGGCCGGGUCUGUAGAGACCGAGGAGAACCUGACUGCGAGGCGGCCUGGGGGCAGGGGUCCUUGCCAGUGGACCGCUGGGGGAGGAGAGCGAGGGGCAGCAUCUAUGCAGCCAGGGCUCGGGCAGACUCCCCUGUGCGGGCCGAAGCCCGCUUUUUUAAUGCUUUUUUCUUCGUUCUCUUCGGAGAAGGAUGGAAAUAAGACAAAUAACUGAAAAGGAAUGGCUGUUAACUUAUUCUCGAGUAAGUCACAUCACGUUCCGCAUCUCCGAGAAGUCAGUUUCACAUUCUUGCAGUAAAUGGAACGGGAACACCAACAGCUCAGUGAGGAAGCUGUCAAGCUCGUGCCAGCUGCUGUCACUUCAGAGGCCACAGAGGGCCCGCCUAGAACCCUGCCUCCGAUGAGGUCCUGUUACCCAGAUCACACUGUGGCAGCCGUGUCUCCCCGCGGUCCUGGCCCUGGUCCAGCAGGAGAGCCUGUGUUUGCCCCCCCACACAAAGGCAGCGUGUGAGUGGGCCCAGACCUGCCUGAGCAUCUGCAACAGACAUGGAAGCCUCCGGACAAAUGUCACUGACAAAGGGCUGAGGCCGUGUGACACUGUCCGUGAAGGUGGCUUUGAGGGGUGGAGAAGGGGCCACAGAGAGCUCUUCCUGAAAACCGGGAGGGGCGGGGGCUGCAGCGUGACUACGCCCUGCUGUGGGGUACUUCCCUCCUCUCCCUCUCCGUCUCUGUCUCUCUCUGGGUAGUGCACAUAUUCUCUGGCAAUUAAGAAAAGAGUAGUCUGAUGUCUCUGAGACUCUUGAUUUCUUGAAUGCUCAGACUGUUUGUCAAAAUACCAAAAAUGGGUCCUGCUGGGACCAGCAGAUGGCAUAAUGGUUA